rnacentral:lncRNA from 1 species
UUUUUAAUGUAAGUGUGCCCCAUGCAGGGUGGCCCCAGUGGCUCAGUGGUUUGGCACCACCUUCAGCCCAGGGCCUGAUCCUGGAGACCCGGGAUCGAGUCCCACAUCGGGCUCCCUGCACGGAGCCUGCUUCUCCCUCUGCCUGUGUCUCUGCCUCUCUCUCUCUGUCUCUCAUAAAUAAAUAAAUAAAUUCUUUAAAAAAAAAAAAGUGUGCCCCAUGGAGUGUUUGCACAUAUUUGUAGUAUAAGAUUAGGUCUUGUUUUGCUUUCCGCAUUGGGUUUUGCCCACUGAUUUUCCUUUCUCUCUGCAUUGAUAUCGCUGCACAAUGGUUCUUCCUCUGCUUCUCUGCCAGGUGCCAGGACCUGCUUGCUCAUCUCUGUCCCUGAGGCCUCUUGGCCACCCGUGCUUCUAGGCCACCCAGCAGUACUGGGCUGGCGUCCACACCAGCUGUGAGUACAGCCACUGCCUCUGCAGCCCUCCUGCCAGGAGCAACGGGGGCACACUGGAUGAGCAAAUGGAGGCCUAAGAACAGUUGGAGAUUGGACAGGUCCGCAGAGUGACUUGUCUUAUCUGGAAAUAGGGCUUGAAGACAUGAAUCCAGCAUUCUAGAGGGCAUGGGCAGGUGGGUUGGGCUGCCCUGAUCACAGACUGUUGCCUAGAGGCUGUGAGAGAGGUCAGAGGUGCAUCUCAUGAAUGUCGUGGCUCACCUGUCAACCAGGCUUCACGUCUUAAGUUGGGCCAUGCUGUUUCUGCUCAGGUCAUUAGAGUUAUCAGAAGUCCCAGUGGGCAUCCCUCUG